GCACCACUCAAGAGACUCUCCUGAAAGAAAGAGAGCUUUGUAAGCCAAAAGUGCUGAGGCUUGGAUUCUGCGUGGCUUGAGAUCCAAGCCUCUUCCAUCAAGUCCAGAGACACGAAGCGGAAUCUUUCCCUUCUAUUAAUCAAGUCACCUCACAAAUGAUCAGCAGCUCUAUAUCUACCAGAGGGGCUCAGUUUUCUUGUCUGUAGUACAAGCUACCAUCACCAGUUCCAGGAAGGAGAAACUGCACAGCGAAGGAAUAGGUGAGUGAACAAUGGCUGGCCAGUACCUCCACCCUGGGAAGGGUUCCUGCCAGGGUUGACAAAAUCUCACCACCACCACCACACCCACCCACCAGAAGGAAAAAUAUGUUGAAAAUAAAGAACAACCAUUAUACUUGAGUGGUUAGGGAAGGCUGAAGUAGUGAUAUACACCUACAGCAUACAAUGAUGUCCAACAAG